CUUUUGCCCUUUUCAGUGUAAGCCGAUCUGGGUGGGUGGAGAAGUGGGGCACUGAACCCUUGAUUCUCUCCCUCCCCUGCUAGCCUCCUAAAGUUCUGACCCCAUGGAAAAGCAGCAGGCAGGUUAUGUAACAAGGAGGUUUUUCUCUUCACUGGGGAGACCCUGGAGCAGAAGGGAGUGAAGUUGGGCAGCAGGCAGGCUCUAGAAGAGAGAAGCCCUGAAAUAAGUGCUGUCUCUCUGCAGGGCUGGAAGCAUCUUCUGGGACUCAGAAAACUAGU
rnacentral:lncRNA from 1 species